rnacentral:lncRNA from 1 species
ACAAAAUGGCUGCCAGUUACAGCAAGCAAUACCCAAAACGUAAUACGUCUGGCGCGAUUUCGUGACAGAGAAGUAUGGUAAAAUGACACGACAUAUCAAUCUGAAGUUCGAGGAAAAUUACUUACGGGUCAUUAACACGCUUCACAUAAAAUGGUUCGCUUCAACAAGCAACCAGUUACUAUAAUAUUCGAAUUCCAUAACACAAAAAAUGACUCAGCUUCGUGUGUACAUAUUGAACUUUCCAUCUCUAUUCUUCGGCAUGAAAAUACCGAUAAACUGUAAGUGUAAAUCUAUUUACCAGAAACCACAGACCGCAACUAUUACAACAAACUGAAUCAUCAAACCCUCGAAAUUCUAUGACAAUAAUCAGCGUUUACCAGUUUCCUUAUCGAAUACUAUUUUUAAAUCGACUGUACGGCAAACAACCGAUCCGAUUCACACGGAUAUGCAAACUGCUCGAAGCAGAAGGUAGAACGAGUCUAUGGUUGUUCAAAUAAAGGCGCGUGCUGGCUGACACGAUUGUUGGAAGCGUAGGGCAGGUCUUCAACUACGGGAGUUCAAUAUUUAUUGCGAUGUCACCAGAGGUCGUGGACGGUUAAACUACAAAAGGCAACAGGGUCAGGCAGCAGCCGAAGGAAACGGCGGGUCGUGAUAAAAAGAAUGUGACAUAAGUUGGGGGGUUGGCUUAUCGAUAUUGCUUGGAAAUAUGCAACGACGCUGCUGCGCGAGAAGAAAAGUCAUUAACACGAGUCUCUGGCAAGAAACGCAACGAUAACGUAUCGCGCGGUUUCAUCGACGGCCAACUCGGCUAAGAAAUCCUGCAUCGAAUUAACUAACGUUGAAUACAAAGAAAUGGCGCGCAUACGAGGCACAAAAGUAUCUAUCAGCAAAAGUAAUGAAACAGAAUGGGCUUCAAGGCGUAAAAACUCCGACACGAUUUCGUGACAUAAAAGUAUCGGGAAGUGAUACUUGUGACACAUCAAAUUCAAGCUUACGGUACGGAAAAUGACUGUCAAGAUUUUAUUACCGUUUUUACGGGGAAACUGAGAAGGAAGGUCUUUACUUGUUGCGUAUCAAUCAUUUAGUGUGAAGUCUGGUUCUUGACAGAAAAUCGCAUAAUGGCACUUGUGGUGCGUGUAAUUAAAGAGUGAUGGAGAUGAAUGUAAAAACUCAAAAAAUUCCACGAUGAAUGAAACGAGGAAUAAAUUCCAGCUCACAUGAACGCAUUUUAAACGCAAAUAGGCAAAACAUACUUAGGAUUCACAGUCCGGAAGGAAUAACAUCUAUUUCGUGUGUUUAUCUGUGCACUGAUAACGUAGAACCGAUUAGAAUUCUCCUCGUUUAUACACCGUGAACCUUCGUGAACUGUGAUAUCCUUUUUCUCUUUCUCUCUUUUUAAUCGAUACAUUUAUUUGCAACAGAAGAGAAAAGGAAAAUCGAUACAACUUACGUUCCAGCUGCAACUCGAACGUACAUCAAGUUAUAUUAUAAAUAAAUAUAUUACGAACAGAUGUUCCAGAUGAUGUCGGUUCAAAAGACGAAGAUAACAUAAUAAAUAUAUAUAUGUAUCACGGACGGCUUCAAAAAUCAUUAAAACAGCGAGGUCUUAUCGUGACCCACGCAAUGAUGAUACCGAUUUCUUCUCCCCCUUAUCAACCUACAUCGAGACACCGCUUUUCUUUUGCAUAGACGAUUCUGGUGCUUAUUUUACCCGUGUUUGUGAUAAGCCAUUCUUGGAAAAAGUAUUUUAAGGAAUAUAGUUGAAGAUGUAAUACGAAUCGCUGUGUUUCAUUUAUUAAAUUUUUGGGAAUUAAUCUUUCAAUGGAAAAGCAACUCGGUAAUAUACCAGACUAGUUAUAUUGCUAACUUUGCACGUAUGAUAUGUAUACUAAUGACGUUUUACAUUAUUGUUGCAUACCGAGAUGUCUGAUUUGAAGAGUUGGAGAUAUGGAAACUGAGAAUAUUACCAAGAGUUAGAUUACUACUUGUUAUAUUACCACGUGUUAUAUUGCCACGCGCUAUAAUGUUAAUCAUUGUACCGCCUCGAAUUAUAUCGCCAUUUGUUGCGUCACUAUUUGUUAUAUUGCGGUGGAAUAUAUUACCACGUGUUAUAUUGCCGCGUAUUAUAUCACCACGUGUUAUAUCACCGGUUAUAUUGCCACGCAUUACAUUAACAUGCGCUGUAAUGUCAACCAUUGUAUCGCCACGUGUUGCAUUACUAUGCGUUAUAUUGCCGCGCGUUAUAUUACCACGUGUUAUAUUGCCGCGUAUUAUAUCACCGGUUAUAUUGCCACGCAUUACAUUAACAUGCGCUGUAAUGUCAACCAUUGUAUCGCCACGUGUUGCAUUACUAUGCGUUAUAUUGCCGCGCGUUAUAUUACCACGUGUUAUAUUGCCGCGUAUUAUAUCACCGGUUAUAUUGCCACGCAUUACAUUAACAUGCGCUGUAAUGUCAACCAUUGUAUCGCCACGUGUUGCAUUACUAUGCGUUAUAUUGCCGCGCGUUAUAUUACCACGUGUUAUAUUGCCGCGUAUUAUAUCACCGGUUAUAUUGCCACGCAUUACAUUAACAUGCGCUGUAAUGUCAACCAUUGUAUCGCCACGUGUUGCAUUACUAUGCGUUAUAUUGCCGCGCGUUAUAUUACCACGUGUUAUAUUGCCGCGUAUUAUAUCACCGGUUAUAUUGCCACGCAUUACAUUAACAUGCGCUGUAAUGUCAACCAUUGUAUCGCCACGUGUUGCAUUACUAUGCGUUAUAUUGCCGCGCGUUAUAUUACCACGUGUUAUAUUGCCGCGUAUUAUAUCACCGGUUAUAUUGCCACGCAUUACAUUAACAUGCGCUGUAAUGUCAACCAUUGUAUCGCCACGUGUU